rnacentral:rRNA from 1 species
CCUACGGGAGGCAGCAGUGAGGAAUAUUGGUCAAUGGACGAGAGUCUGAACCCUCCCCGUCGCUUUCCUUCUGCCUGCCCUCUUGUUUUUCCCCUUCUUUUCUCCCGGCCUCCCCCGCGGCCCGUGUGCCUUUUUGCAUGUACUUUAUGAAUACGGAUAGGCUAACUCCGUGCCAGCCGCCGCGGUAAUACGGCGGAUCCGCGCGUUAUCCGGCUUUCUUGGGUUUACAGGUCGCGUCGCUGGGUUGUUCCGUCAGUUGUGACAGUUUGCGGCUCAACCGUAACAUUGCAAUUGCUACUGGCAGUCUUGAGUACAGUUGAGGUAGGCGGAAUUCGUGGUGUAGCGGUGAAAUGCUUAGAUAUCACGAAGAACCCCGAUUGCGAAGGCAGCUUACUAAACUGUGACUGACAUUGAUGCUCGAAAGUGUGGGUAUCAAACAGGAUUAGAUACCCUUGUAGUC